GACAGAGGGUGCAAACGUUGUUCGGAAUUACUGGGCGUAAAGCGCGUGUAGGCGGCGGCGCAAGUCGGGUGUGAAAGCCCAGGGCUCAACCCUGGAAGUGCACUCGAUACUGCGACGCUAGAGUCCCGGAGAGGUUGGUGGAACUCUCGGUGUAGAGGUGAAAUUCGUAGAUAUCGAGAAGAACACCGGUGGCGAAGGCGGCCAACUGGACGGUGACUGACGCUGAGACGCGAAAGCUAGGGGAGCAAACGGG
rnacentral:rRNA from 1 species